UUCCCAAAUUGAAAUCCCUAAAAUUAUCCCGUGAUUUUAUCUCUCGCUCGACUUCUCCUUCUUCCCCUUCCAGCUCCAGUUGCACACUUCCGAAAUCAGACUUGACCUCUUCCAGUCUUCCAGAGUUCUAGUUCCGGUCUUCGAGUUCCUCGCUUGGUUAGUUGGCUAUUUGGCUUCGCAAUUUGCUGGAGCGAUGGAGGUGCGGAGCCUCAAGGCUCGAGUCCCACUGACCACUAUCUCAUCUUUCUGAUUAUGUUUGAAGAUGGCAGCUCGGAGUUAUUAAAUUUUUCAAAAGAGGAAUCGGAAUUUUGCAACAAUUAAUGUAACUUUGUUGGAUAGUAGCUUUGCGUAUAAUGGACAAAGAGUGGCUGCAAUUAUCAAGAUUUUCAAGACCAUAUAGCGAUGGAGCACAGAAUUUUGUUGAACGAGCUCGUAAAAAAUGUAAUUCAGAAAUGAUAGUAUGUCCUUGUGUUAAGUGUAGGAAUCUAAAGCAUCAUCAUUCUGAUACAGUCUAUGAACAUUUGGUUAUUAAAGGUAUGGAUCCUACAUUUACUUCUUGAGUAUUUCAUGGAGAGCAACCAGGUUCAUCAAAUCAGAAUGUUGUAGAAAUGCCUGAGUCGAGUAGGAUGUUUAAGGAUUUCUAUGCACAACAUGAUAUAGAUCCUGAAAAUCGUCCUGAUGAAAGAGAUGAAGAGAUUGAAAGUUUAGUUAAUGAUGCUGAAACUCCUUUAUAUCCUUGUUGUAGGGCAUUUACAAAGAUGUCAGCUUCGGUUGCAAUGUUUAAGCAUAAAGCUUCACAUGGGUUGUUAGAUAAUGGUUUUGAUGAACUUAUAAAUCUUGUUCGGGAUAUGUUGCCCGAUAAUAAUACACUUUCAAACUCAUUUUACGAGAUGAAAAAACUUGUCAAUAUAUUUGAUCUUGGCUAUGAAGAAAUGCAUGCUUGCCUAAAUGAUUGUUGUCUAUAUAGAAAGGAGCUUGAGCAUUCUUACUUAUGUCCAAAAUGUGGUUGCUCGAGAUGGAAAAUUAACAAACGGACAAAAAAAAUUUAGAAAAAUAUCCCAGCCAAGGUCUUGCGUUAUUUUCCUAUAAUACCAAGACUGAAGAGGAUGUUUGGAAUAUAUGAGACAUCAACACAACUUCGAUGGCACUCAAAUAAUAAAAGCUUAGACAGUAAGAUUAGGCAUCCAGUUGAUUCAUUGAGUUGGGAAAUGAUUAAUCGAAGGUGGCCAGAUUUUGCAUCUGAUCCUCGGAAUAUUAGAUUAGGUCUCGCUAUUCAUGGAUUUAAUCCUUUCAAAGAUCUUAGCUCUAAAUACAGUUGUUGGCCAGUAAUCUUAACUAUAUAUAACUUGCCUCCCUCAAUUUGCAUGUCAAAGGAAAGUUUGAUGUUGAGUUUAUUGAUCUCGGGACCAAAACAGCCAGGUAAUGACAUAUAUGUUUAUUUGGCACCACUUGUAGACGACUUAAUGUUGUUAUGGAAUGAUGGGGUUGAUAUUUAUGAUGCUGUUACAAAGUCUACAUUUAACUUAAAAACUCUUUUGAUGUGGACAAUACAUGAUUUUCCUGCAUUUGGAAAUAUAUUUGGGUGGCCGGUCAAAGGAAAAAUUGCAUGCCCUAUUUGUCGUGAGAGUACAUGUUCACUAUGGUUGAAGCAUGGUAGGAAGUUUGCGUACAUGGGAUAUAGAAAAUUUCUCGCGUUUGAUCAUCCGUUUCGCAUAAAAAAGAGCUGGUUUAAUGGACAUAUUGAACAUGGUAUUAGGCCACAAAUAAAAAAUGACGAAGAAGAUUUUAUUGAAGUUGAUAAAAUUACAAACGAUUGGGGAAAAAGUGGGAAAUGGAAGAGGAAGAAGAAUACAACUCAAUCUAAUGUAACGUGGAAGAAGAGGUCAAUAUUUUUCAAUCUACCAUAUUGAAAGGUAAUUGUUGUGAUAUUUCCUUCAUUUUUAUUCAAUACUUAUAGUUGUGUAUAGUUUUAAUGACUCCAUUGGCAUUUGAUUUGAAGACUUUACUUGUACGUCAUAAUUUGGGUGUGAUGCAUGUGGAGAAGAAUAUUUGUGAAAGUAUCAUCAGUACACUUUUGGAUGUCAAAGGAAAAUCUAAAGAUGACAUUAACUCUCGUAAGGACAUGGAAGAAAUGAAUAUUAGGCAUGAUUUACAUCCUCAGAGUAGAGGAAAUAAAUUAUAUCUACCAGCUGCUCCUCAUACCUUAUCAAAAGCAGAAAAGCAAAUUUUUUGCAAAAGACUUGCUAACUUUAGAUUACUCGAUGGUUAUGGAUCUAAUAUUGAAAAUUGCAUAUCGGUGGAAGAAUGUAAGAUAGCUGAGUUGAAGUCUCAUGAUUGUCAUAUGUUAAUGCAACAAUUAUUAUCAGUUGCGUUGAGAGGGCUUCUACCUAAAGAACCAAGAAAUUCCAUUUUUAAAUUGAGUUCAUUUUUCAAGGAAAUAUGUCAAGAAAUUAUAGAUAGAAAUAAGGUCGAAUAAUUAGAGGAGGACAUUUCUGAAACUUUAUGCAUGUUGGAAAGGUACUUUCCGCCUUCAUUUUUUGAUAUAAUGGUUCAUUUAACAAUCCAUAUUGGUAGAGAAGUUCGUCUAUGUGGACCAGUACAAUAUUGUUGGAUGUACCCAUUUGAGAGAUAUAUGAAAGUGUUGAAAGGGUAUGUUAUGAACCGUACACGGCCUGAAGGGUGCAUAGCUGAACGAUAUAUUGUUGAAGAAAAUGCGAAGUUUUGCAGCAAAUACGUAACACAAGCAUCUAAAAUAGGUUCGAAACCUGUAUGCAAUGAAGAAUACGAGACUAAUUUCCUAGUUGCAGGACGUACAAUUUCUAAAGGGAAGGCAAUUAUACUAUCCAAUGAGAUGUUGAAAGUUGUUAAUCGCUUCGUGUUACUGAAUAGUACAGAAGUUCAACCAUACAUAGAGUACGUUUAUUAAAUAUAGAGUUCAAUAAUUUUAUGUAGUUAACCAUAAUUUUUUAUAUAUUUUAUUUACCUUAGGUUGCAUAUGGCUGAAUUGAAGAGUUUUGACAAACGACUGGAAAGAAAUGAGACUUUAUUGAACAAGAAGCACAUUGAUACUUUUGCUGCCUAGUUAGAUAAUAAGGUUGGAAUACACAACAAAUAAAUGUCUCAAAGUUGUGCUAUUUGUUCUUUUAUUUCUAACAUUUUUAACAUAAUAACAGAUUCAAAUCCAUCUAUUGACGAACAAAGUUUCAAACAAUUUGAAGUGGCUUGCACGUGGUCCCAGAUAUCAAUCCAUGUCAUACUCUAGUUUUGUUAUAAAUGGUCUUCGACUUCACACUAAAGAUGCAGAAAAAUAUCGUCAAAAUAGUGGCGUUUUAGUUGAAGCAACGACCAUAUGUAGAUCUAGUGCAAAAGAUAAUGCACAAAUAGUUGGGCAAGUUCUUUAUUAUGAAGUUUUGCGUGACAUUAUAGUGCUUGACUAUAAUACGUUUCAUGUUCCAAUAUUCAAAUAUGAUUGGGUAAAUAUUGUGAACGGAAUAAAAAAGGAAGAUGGAUUCACUUUGGUUAAUCUUAAUGAAGGACACAGACAAUUUGAAAAUGAUCCAUUCAUUUUGGCAACACAGGCGAAACAAGUAUUUUAUUCUAGGGAAAAUGAAACAUCUAGUUGGUAUGUGACUUUGCAAGCGCCACAAAGAGACUUUGAUGCAUCACAUUUGGAAGAAGAUACUAAUUAUGAUGUAACUAUUCCACUAGAUAUAUCACAGUCAAUUACAGACAACCAUGAUGAAGAUGACAAUUAUACAAGGAUAGAUGUUGAAGGCGUACUGUGUAAUACGUAAAGUAGUUUGGUUUUUAUUCUAGCUCUAGAGAAUCUUUUCAAUCCGAAAUACAUUUUGUACGAUGGACAAGACUCGGGUAAUUGUGUUUUCUUAUAAUACAUAAGAUAUAUGCUAAGUUUUGAAAAUAAUUGCAUUUAACUUAUGCUUCCAUGUUGUAUUCUCAAAGCCAACUAAACAAACUUUGAAGAGUUCUAAAAGGAGAAGAGCUUCAAUUGCUAAUGCAAUUCGAGAGACAAGUAAGAGACUAAACAAUUCCAGUGAACAAGACAAUACGAUAACUAGUCCAACUAAUGAUGAGCAAACCACGUUGCCAACAACUGUAAAUGCUCCGAAAAAGAAAAGAGGUCCAACACAAGUGAAGAUAAUUCUUGAACAUAAUUAUCAAAAGAUAAAUCUAGAAUUCAAUAAAUAUGGCCAAGUUGUUGGGCAGAACUCGAAAAAAUUUUCUAGCGUAGUUGGGGCCAUGGUACGAGAACAUGUGCCUGUUGUAAUAAAGAUUGGAUUUCAGUGAAUGAAGAGACAAAAAUGGAGCUCUGGACUUUCAUAUAGUGCAUAAAUACAACAAAGGUUCAAUAUCAGUGAUUGUCAUAAAAGAAUGACACUUCAAUGUAUGGGAAAGUAUUGGAGGACAUUCAAAUCAAGAUUGAGAAAACAAAUUAGAACUCAAGUUGAAUCAUCUAUGAAUAGAGCAUGCACUAUUACCCUUCUUAGACCAAAGAAUGUCAACUCUGAAGAAGUCUGGGUUAAAUUUGUUGAGGAUACUCUUUCUGCUGAUUUUCAUGAGAAAAGUUCCAGGUUCAGCAACAUGCGAACUAAUCAGAAGCUUCUCCAUACUAUAGGUAGAAAGGGUUAUCCACGUGUGACUUAUGAAAUGAAGAAAAAGAAUCCACAUUUAAAAGGGUUAAGAACAGAAGUAUGGAAAUAUGGACAUCUCAGAAAAGAUGGAAAACCAAUUAAUGAAGCAGUUGCCGAAACAUUGGUAUGUGUAUUAUACUAAUGUUCAAUUAAGCAUAAUUUGAUUUAUUAGUUGUAUCACUUGCUACUAUUUGAUUUGAGUUCCAUAAGUGCAGAAAAAGAUUGAAGAUUGUGCCACAUCAAUUUUCGAUACGCCUGCCGAAGAUUCCAUCCGUGAUGAUGCUAUAGCUCGAGUUUUAGGUCCCGAACAUUAGGGAGAGUUAGGGGACUCGGAUUUGGAGUUGUACCAUCAAAAGUGGAUGGACAAAUACAAAGUAGUGGGAGAGUUAGAGAACUUGAAAGUCAAGUACAGAUUCAGGCACAAAGGAUGGGGGCAUUGGAAGAAAAAAUGGAAGCAUUUAUCAGGUUUUCUCAGCAGAGUGUGGAGGAUAGGAAUUCAAAUGCUUUUACUCAGUCACACCAAGGAAGUGGUGUCCAAGGAAUUACUACCCCCAAGACAAAUGCAAGAUGUUAACUGUUGUAUUGGUACAUGUUUGAGGAGGAAGAAGUCAUAGCAGAAGGGAAGAUUGCCACAACAGAUCCAAGUGCAAAGGUGCAUCACUUGCCACUCGGUUGAGACUGUUGAAAGGUUUUGGUUGAGGAAGUCUAUAUGGGUAAUUUGACCCUAUACAGACCCACAAAUGAAUUCCGCACUCUUAGUGAAGCCAUGGGAAGUACUGUUGCUUGGCCAAAGAGUAGUAUUAGACUUCUUGAUUAACGUAUUAGGCUCUUAGUGGCAAUGGUAUUGAUCAAGUAACAUGCGACGAUUUAAAGUUUAAGUUUCGGUUUUUGAAGUUUCCUAAUUACAUUUUGGUAGUACAUGUUUGGAGACUCUUAAUUUUAUUUUGGAAAAAUCAUGUGUUGAAUAUUUUACAAA